rnacentral:rRNA from 1 species
AUCCUGGCUCAGGAUGAACGCUAGCUACAGGCUUAACACAUGCAAGUCGAGGGGCAUCAGGAAGAAAGCUUGCUUUCUUUGCUGGCGACCGGCGCACGGGUGAGUAACACGUAUCCAACCUGCCCUUUACUCGGGGAUAGCCUUUCGAAAGAAAGAUUAAUACCCGAUAGCAUAAUGAUUCCGCAUGGUUUCAUUAUUAAAGGAUUCCGGUAAAGGAUGGGGAUGCGUUCCAUUAGGUUGUUGGUGAGGUAACCGG